rnacentral:snRNA from 1 species
AUACAACAAAGUCCCCUGAUCA